rnacentral:miRNA from 12 species
GUCCUUCUGGCUCCAAUCUUAACUGCAGGCGACGCUGACAUUCACCUUCGGUUAUCAGUGGAGUUUUGAGUGC